rnacentral:lncRNA from 1 species
AUAGAGAUUUUUAAGGAAAAUAUAAAAAACUGUCUUAACUUUUAACUAAAAAAGGUAAAAACCGGUUCUUAAUAAGAUAUUUAAAAUGUGAUUCUUAGCUUUUUUUAGUUAAAAAUUAAGAGACGGUUUCUUAUAUUUCGAUAAAAAUUUCACCUCAAGAACUUUCAAUUAAUCAUGGUCUUAGUGCAUUGUAGUCCGAUUUAUAAAAAAGAUAUUUACAAAAAGCCCUAACCGAACCCCAUCAACGUUACCUAUAUUUCUAUAUGCUCAACACAGCCCAUUUACUCUUUUAAGGUUUGAAAUGCCUAGUUUUCGAUUUUUCUUUGUCUAAACGUUAACUUUUAUAGGUACACGCCAAAAAGCCCAUGGACGUCGCAGCCCACACCACGAAAGAGUGUUGAGCAGGGGACGAGUCAUGUGGCUUCAAUGUUCAAUCCCAAGUAAUGGAGUUUAUGUCCCUUGGACAAAGAAAUGCUAUAUAAUCUACAAAAGUAGAUUCCAUGUUGAAGCGAUAAGAAUCAUAUGAAUGUCUUACUACAAAAUAAGGUAAAGUUUCUUACUGUUAGCUACUAUACACCAAAAGUGCAAUCAGUUUUACUUUAGUGAUUUAAAUCGAUUGACUACGCUGGAACAUUUAAAAUCAGUUUGAAUUGAUUAUAAUAGUGGAUCAUAAAAUUACUAUAUUUGUUAACGUAACUGCGCUUCUGUUAUACCUCAAUGAGAGAGCAAAACGAAAAGAGAACGAUAAAUUUUAUAAAAAAUAAAUUUCACUUUUAAUAUAAUAGUUCAAUUUUCAAAGAUAUGAACUCUGUCCCCAAGUAAUAUGUGCAUUAUUUGCCAUACCAAACUUUUCCACGGCACAUGAAACAGUGAGAUUCCUCUGAAUAAUAGUACUAUACAUAAUAGUUUUUUAAUCAAACAACUAAUGAAUAAGGUUAGACCAAAAAAACUAAUGAAUUAGGAAGAGACAUUGGGAAAAAGUUUGCUUGCAUGUAUAUACAUCAUCUAAAGAACUUUGCCACUAUCAUCUAAUUAUCUUUAUCAAUAAUGUCUUGUAACUAAUGAUUGUUAAUUAUAUACAUACCACUAGGUUUACCACUUACCAAAAUAAGAAAUUCAGUGCAAAGAUAAUGUGCUGGGUUGCAAAACCAUUACAUACCUACUCGGCAUAUAUGUCAUAUAUACACGCAAAUAAGUUGAAAAUUUAACAAAAUUCAAAUAUUGAGCACCAGAUUAAUUUCAUAAACAUACUGCAAUAUAUAUUAUAUAUAUUAUAUAUAUUCUUUACAAUGAUACAACAUGCUAUCAGUAAAACUUAAUUAAAAGGAAAAAUCACUUGAAAAGUCAAAGAAGUGACAAAAAGGCUUCUUGUUCAUGUGAUCUUCCUAGGCCGCCCGCCCACCUCUCAACUCCCAAACGUAUUGCAAUAUUGACAUACAAUUUGAAAGGUAUAAUUACGACAAGGGUAAAUUAGUUAACAUUUUUGUGUAAGGUAAAUUAAUUAACAUAUAAAAAGAAUUUUGUAAAUAAUAAAACAUAUAUAGUAAAGUAUGUAUUCUGGACCGUCAGAUCAACUGAAACUCCAAAGUGGAAUAUCAGCAUCUUCGUAGAAAUACCCAUCGACCAUAUUCGUGGUCGUGUUCAGUGGAGGAGAGUAAUUAAACGGAGCUCCAUCAUCGAAGAAGAACAUCCCAUUAUGAUCAUUGUCAUACCACGAUGAUGAUGGAUCCAUCAAAGACACACGAUU